UUUAUAUAUUAUAAUAAAUUAUUUUUAAUUUCCAAUUAAAAAAUCUGAUAAAAUCAGUAUAAAUA
rnacentral:tRNA from 1 species